rnacentral:rRNA from 1 species
UACGUAGGGUGCAAGCGUUGUCCGGAAUUAUUGGGCGUAAAGAGCUCGUAGGCGGUUUGUCGCGUCUGCUGUGAAAACCCGAGGCUCAACCUCGGGCCUGCAGUGGGUACGGGCAGACUAGAGUGCGGUAGGGGAGAUUGGAAUUCCUGGUGUAGCGGUGGAAUGCGCAGAUAUCAGGAGGAACACCGAUGGCGAAGGCAGAUCUCUGGGCCGUAACUGACGCUGAGGAGCGAAAGCAUGGGGAGCGAUCCGG